GCGGCCGCCGGGCGAUUUCGGAAACUGCCGCGGGCCGGAAGGGGGUGGGUAGGAGGCGGCGGAGCUGGGGAGGGAGCGAGGGCGAGGACGCCCCCGCAUGCAUCUCUUCCACCGCCCCAGGAGCCUGCAGACAUUCCGCGCGAUUGGCUCCGAAGUCGAAGUGUGCUUCCCCAGCCACAGAGUCCCAAAAACCGGGACAGGCAUUUGGAGGCGUUAGAGAUCUGGUCAGAGCAAAGGGAAUGAAGGCCAACAGCCAGAGUCGGGCCCGGUGUGCCCGAGGCCCUGACGCUAUUGAUGGCCUAUACGCAUGAGCGCACCUGCUCGGGGAAGCGCGUCCACGCAGCAUCUGUGCGCGCGAUCGUCUUGUCAGUCUCCCUCCAGCUAUUUCUCCCCAGCAGGGAUAGUCUGGGCCGGACUUGCAAUACUUCUGGACUCCCUAGCUGUAGCUGUUUGCCAGUUUUGCUGUUUGCCUCCUUGUCACGACCUCGGAGAGGGCAGAUGGGCGGCCGCCGGGCGAUUUCGGAAACUGCCGCGGGCCGGAAGGGGGUGGGUAGGAGGCGGCGGAGCUGGGGAGGGAGCGAGGGCGAGGACGCCCCCGCAUGCAUCUCUUCCACCGCCCCAGGAGCCUGCAGACAUUCCGCGCGAUUGGCUCCGAAGUCGAAGUGUGCUUCCCCAGCCACAGAGUCCCAAAAACCGGGACAGGCAUUUGGAGGCGUUAGAGAUCUGGUCAGAGCAAAGGGAAUGAAGGCCAACAGCCAGAGUCGGGCCCGGUGUGCCCGAGGCCCUGACGCUAUUGAUGGCCUAUACGCAUGAGCGCACCUGCUCGGGGAAGCGCGUCCACGCAGCAUCUGUGCGCGCGAUCGUCUUGUCAGUCUCCCUCCAGCUAUUUCUCCCCAGCAGGGAUAGUCUGGGCCGGACUUGCAAUACUUCUGGACUCCCUAGCUGUAGCUGUUUGCCAGUUUUGCUGUUUGCCUCCUUGUCACGACCUCGGAGAGGGCAGAUGG
rnacentral:lncRNA from 1 species